GUGGGGAAUAUUGGACAAUGGGCGAAAGCCUGAUCCAGCCAUGCCGCGUGUGUGAAGAAGGUCUUCGGAUUGUAAAGCACUUUAAGUUGGGAGGAAGGGCAGUAAGUUAAUACCUUGCUGUUUUGACGUUACCGACAGAAUAAGCACCGGCUAACUUCGUGCCAGCAGCCGCGGUAAUACGAAGGGUGCAAGCGUUAAUCGGAAUUACUGGGCGUAAAGCGCGCGUAGGUGGUUUUGUAAGUUGGAGGUGAAAUCCACGGGCUCAACCUGGGAACUGCCUCCAAAACUGCAUGACUAGAGUACGAGAGAGGGUAGUGGAAUUUCCUGUGUAGCGGUGAAAUGCGUAGAUAUAGGAAGGAACACCAGUGGCGAAGGCGACUACCUGGACUGAUACUGACACUGAGGUGCGAAAGCGUGGGGAGCAAACAGGAUUAGAUACCCUAGUAGUCC
rnacentral:rRNA from 1 species